UACGAACCGUACAACCGUUAUUCGGAAUCACUGGGCUUAAAGGGUGCGUAGGCGGCCAUGUAAGUGAGGUGUGAAAUCCCUCGGCUCAACCGAGGAACUGCGCUUCAUACUGCAUGGCUUGAGGGAGACAGGGGUAAGCGGAACUGAUGGUGGAGCGGUGAAAUGCGUUGAUAUCAUCAGGAACACCGGUGGCGAAAGCGGCUUACUGCGUCUCUUCUGACGCUGAGGUACGAAAGCUAGGGUAGCGAACGGG
rnacentral:rRNA from 1 species